GCUCUGUACGGCAAAGUUCGCCAGUGGACACGGCUCAAAUGAAAGGUAAUAAUUUGGGAAAGGACCCACUGGAUUGUUUUUAGGGGGUUAGGCCCAUUUUGGAAUUGUUUGGGUUCAAAGUUGCUGUGAAGAAAAAAAUACGUGUACCCUUCAUUCUGUCGUUGAGCCUCUCCAACUCCGUUCGACAAAGUUUGCCACCGGACAUGGCUUAACAGAAGGUUAUUUUUGGAAUUAGGCCUAUUCGGGAAUUGUUGGGGUUCAAAGUUUCUCUUUAAAUAAAAAAGUACGUGAAUACAUAAAUUCUUACGUACGAUAAGCCUUGCAGUUCCGUACGGCAAAGUUCGCCCCCAGACAUGGCUCAAAUGAAAUAUUUUUUUGGGAAGUUAAGCCCCUUUAGGAAUUCUUGUGGUUUAAAAUUGCUGUUUAGAUUUUUCUUUUAAUAAUUUACAAACACCCUACAUUAUUUCGGUAAGCCUCGGCAGCUCCUUAAGGCAACGUUUGCCACCGGACAUGGCUAAAAAAAAAGGUAAUAACUUGGAAAUACCCUACUGAGUUUUUUGGGGAAGUUAGGCUCAUGCGGAAAUUGAUGCAUAUGGGUUUCAAAGUUGCUGUUCAGAAAAGAAUGAUAUUUGAUACAUAUAUCCAUGCUGUAUGUAAUGCGUAAUUACAUAAAUUGUAAGCCUGUAUCUUUUGUGUAUCAACCAUUUGUUUAUAUUUUCCAAAUCUCUGUUUUAAGAGUAAUAAAAAAACGUAAACCAAACUUGACAGAAAUAAUAUAUGGAAAGGCUUUUUAUAACCAAGUUUCUUUCUUACUUUCGAAUCUACGAGUUUGUUAAUUAAGCUUGAGUGCUUUCAAAAAAACUAAACCGUCUCUUGUGAAAUCUAAACAAUUUUAUAUUUUCGUAAGAAGUUGAUUUUGCAGAUGAUUUAUUAUGGCCCCUACAACACCAUGUGAAGCAAAACUAGUUAAUCUCUUUAAUAAUUUGUUUCAUAUUGUUUUAUAUAUCGUUUUUGGUGCAAGGAAAUACAGAAAAGAGUGUUCCACGCACUUUAUUUAUAUUCAUUUUUUUUCUGCACUCGUUCUAUUUGAGCAGUCAAAAUGCGUUGACUGUAUAUUUCUAUGUCAUAUACAGUCACUGACCCGAUACACUUUUCCUCAUGAAUAUUUGAAUAGAAGUUGCCGAAAUAAUAUUUAAUUAUUCAUACGAU
rnacentral:lncRNA from 1 species